rnacentral:miRNA from 1 species
GGAUUUUACAUUUUUGCAUGUUGC